rnacentral:lncRNA from 1 species
CACCUGUAACUCACGUGACCCUGAUUAUUAUUGAAACGAGAACGAGGGCGUCGUGCCUUUAUAAGACUGCGUUAAUGUUUCCGUGGAGUUAUCCCUUCCGUUGUUGUUUAUUGCUUGUUAAACAUGGCGUCAUUUGCAAAGGUGGUUGUGUGUCUCCUCAUUGCUUGUGUCUGUAAUGCAUUCUGUUUUCCGAAGAGAGAUGUGAACUUUAAGGCCUCUGCAGUUGACCGCCAAAGUGAUGAUGUGGUUGUCACCACAACACCCGUUCCCCACAACCAGACCACAUCUGCCCAUACUUCAGCUGGUGGUGGUGCAAGUGAAGAUGCUGUGGCUACUACCCCAGCACCUAAUCCACACAACCAGACCACUUCUGCACAAACUGAAGUUACUGAUGGAGCCAGUGAAGAUGCUGUGGACCGCCAAAGUGAUGAUGUGGUUGUAGCCACAACACCCGAUCACCACAACCAGACACAACAAUCAAUCCAGACACAACAAUCUGCCCAUACUUCAGCUAGUGGUGGUGCAAGUGAAGAUGCUGUGGCUACUACCCCAGCACCUAAUCCACACAACCAGACAACUUCUGCACAAACUGAAGUUACUGAUGGAGCCAGUGAAGAUGCUGUGGACCUCCAAAGUGAUGAUGUGGUUGUAGCCACAACACCCGAUCACCACAACCAGACCACAUCUGCCCAUACUGAAGCUGGUGAUGGAGCAAGUGAAGAUGCUGUGGCUACUACCCCAACACUAAAUCCCCCAACUACAUCUGACCACACUGCAGCUACCGUAUCCCAUACGACUGAAGUCUGAUUCGACUGCUCCUCUGGUCACAAUGACCUGAGUCACUGUCUGGACUUUUUGCCUCUACAUGUUGACUGCAAUAAAGGACAGAUUUGUUUUUUGAAUCA